rnacentral:sRNA from 1 species
CGAGCCGGUGUGCCCCUCGGGUGCGCCGGGCCGGGGACCCACCGCAGUCCUGGGGUGCAGCGCGUGUCCGCACGCGCCGGGCGAGUCCACGCCCGAACCCGUCAGCUAACCCGGUAGGCGGCCUGGGAAGAGGAGAA